rnacentral:rRNA from 1 species
GACGAACGCUGGCGGCGUGCCUAAUACAUGCAAGUUGAGCGCUGAAGGUUGGUACUUGUACCAACUGGAUGAGCAGCGAACGGGUGAGUAACGCGUGGGGAAUCUGCCUUUGAGCGGGGGACAACAUUUGGAAACGAAUGCUAAUACCGCAUAAAAACUUUAAACACAAGUUUUAAGUUUGAAAGAUGCAAUUGCAUCACUCAAAGAUGAUCCCGCGUUGUAUUAGCUAGUUGGUGAGGUAAAGGCUCACCAAGGCGAUGAGACAUAGCCGACCUGAGAGGGUGAUCGGCCACAGUGGGACUGAGACACGGCCCAAACUCCUACGGGAGGCAGCAGUAGGGAAUCUUCGGCAAUGGACGAAAGGCUGACCGAGCAACGCCGCGUGAGUGAAGAAGGGUUUCGGAUCGUAAAACUCUGUUGGUAGAGAAGAACGUUGGUGAGAGUGGAAAGCUCAUCAAGUGACGGUAACUACCCAGAAAGGGACGGCUAACUACGUG